AUUGAACGCUGGCGGCAUGCCUUACACAUGCAAGUCGAACGGCAGCACGGGAGCAAUCCUGGUGGCGAGUGGCGAACGGGUGAGUAAAGUAUCGGAACGUGCCCAGUCGUGGGGGAUAACGUAGCGAAAGUUACGCUAAUACCGCAUACGAUCUAUGGAUGAAAGCGGGGGAUCGCAAGACCUCGCGCGAUUGGAGCGGCCGAUAUCAGAUAGGGAGUUGGUGGGGUAAAGGCUCACCAAGCCGACGAUCUGUAGCUGGUCUGAGAGGACGACCAGCCACACUGGGACUGGGACACGGCCCAGACUCCUACGGGAGGCAGCAGUGGGGAAUUUUGGACAAUGGGCGAAAGCCUGAUCCAGCCAUGCCGCGUGCAGGAUGAAGGCCUUCGGGUUGUAAACUGCUUUUGUACGGAACGAAAAGGUUUGGCCUAAUAAGCUGAGCUCAUGACGGUACCGUAAGAAUAAGCACCGGCUAACUACGUGCCAGCCGCCGCAGUAA
rnacentral:rRNA from 1 species